GACGGUCAAGUUAGUUCCCCGGUGGGUGGAGUUUACAGGAAGCAAAGCCGUUGGGAGUAGUGUGCCGAUAGUGAGCGUACCUUGUGUAGUUGGUGUGCGUUACCAUUUAUACCUGCUCCAGAGUCCGACCUCCGUACGUUUCGGGACUUGCCCGAUAUGACCUCAAUCCCGCGCUGAGGAGGAUUCUCUCCGCCCUCUGCGGGAUUGUUCCCUGGACCCUUCCG
rnacentral:lncRNA from 1 species